AGAGUUUGAUCCUGGCUCAGGACGAACGCUGGCGGCGUGCUUAACACAUGCAAGUCGAACGGAAAGGCCCCUGCUUGCAGGGGUACUCGAGUGGCGAACGGGUGAGUAACACGUGGGUGAUCUGCCCUUCACUUCGGGAUAAGCCUGGGAAACUGGGUCUAAUACCGGAUAGGACCAAUCUUUAGUGUGGUUGGUGGAAAGUUUUUUCGGUGGAGGAUGAGCCCGCGGCCUAUCAGCUUGUUGGUGGGGUAAUGGCCUACCAAGGCGACGACGGGUAGCCGGCCUGAGAGGGUGGACGGCCACAUUGGGACUGAGACACGGCCCAGACUCCUACGGGAGGCAGCAGUGGGGAAUAUUGCACAAUGGGCGGAAGCCUGAUGCAGCGACGCCGCGUGAGGGAUGACGGCCUUCGGGUUGUAAACCUCUUUCGCUAGGGAAGAAGCCUUCGGGUGACGGUACCUGGAUAAGAAGCACCGGCUAACUACGUG
rnacentral:rRNA from 1 species